UCAGAGUUAGUCUCAAACAGUUUAAUUCGACACAUUUACAGGUUUAGACAUUUGAAAGGAGCAGGUUAAACAUGUUCACAUCUGAGUUAGUGACACAGAUUAAAAACACUUUAAAUGUUUAAUUUGACAGAAGGCACAGACACGUUUAGCUUAGAGUUAAAACAAAGUCCAGUUUAAACAUGAGAACUUUAAAGAGAGAAGGAGGAGAGACACAGAUUUGAACUGAGACAUAAGACAGAAAGUGUCAGCCAUUUUGGAAAAGGAGGGUUCUGUCAGUAUUGCUGUUUUGGCACAGAAUUUUUUUUAAACAAUUAUACAGGUUGUUAAGAACGUUUAGUUAAGAAUGUUAAUGUCAUUCAUGUCAAAAUUCUGUGUACUUUUAAUCAUUUUCAAAAUCCAUGUUUAAUAUAUUACCACAGCGGAGCGUCACAGUCCCGCCCACUUCCAAGUCCACUCUGGUCCCAACGUCAUUUUCCAUUAAUUUUCCCCAUAAACUUCUGGAAAAAUGAACAUGUUAAGAGUUCAAAAACAUUGCGGAGGCUAACCAGCUACAUGCCAACCAGCUAUGUACUAAUAGCUAUGUGCUACCCAGCAACAUGUUAACCAGCUACAUGCUAACCAGCUACAUGCUAACCAGCUAUGUACUAGCAAACUACAUGCUAACCAACUAUGUGCUAACCAGGUCCCACAGAUCCAUAUUAACCAACUAUGUGCUAACCAACUAUGUGCUAACCAACUAUGUGCUACCCAGCUACAUGCUAACCAGCUACGUGCUAAACGGCUAUGGGCUAACCAGCUACAUGUUACCCAGCUAUGUGCUAACCAGGUAUGUGCUAACAAGCUACGUUUUAACCGGCUAUGUGCUAACCAGUUAUGUGCUAACCAACUACGUGCUAAGCAGCUAUGUGCUACCGAGCUACAUGUUACCCAGCUAUGUGCUAACCAGUUAUGUGCUAACCAACUACGUGCUAUCCAACUAUGUGCUAACCAGCUACAUGUUAAUCAGCUACAUGCUAACCAGCUACGUGCUAA
ensembl:lncRNA